AGCAGCCGCGGUAAUUCCAGCUCCAAUAGCGUAUAUUAAAGUUGUUGCAGUUAAAAAGCUCGUAGUUGAAUUUCGGGGUCAGUAGAUUGGUCGUGCCACUGGUAUGCACUGGUCUUACUGGCUCCUCCUUCCUGAUGAACCGUAAUGCCAUUAAUUUGGUGUUGCGGGGAAUUUGGACUGUUACUUUGAAAAAAUUAGAGUGUUUAAAGCAAGCUAACGCUUGAAUACAUUAGCAUGGAAUAAUGAAAUAGGACGUUCGAUCCUAUUUUGUUGGUUUCUAGGAUUGACGUAAUGAUUAAUAGGGAUAGUUGGGGGCAUUAGUAUUCAAUUGUCAGAGGUGAAAUUCUUGGAUUUAUUGAAGACUAACUACUGCGAAAGCAUUUGCCAAGGAUGUUUUCAUUAAUCAAGAACGAAAGUUAGGGGAUCGAAGACGAUCAGAUACCGUCGUAGUCUUAACCAUAAACUAUGCCGACUAGGGAUCGGAUGAUGUUAAUUUUUAAUGACUCAUUCGGCGCCUUAA
rnacentral:rRNA from 1 species